rnacentral:rRNA from 1 species
GAUCAUGGCUCAGGAUGAACGCUGGCGGCGUGCCUAAUACAUGCAAGUGAAACGGGUAUCUUCGGAUACCAGUCGCGGACGGGUGAGUAAUACAUAGGCAACCUGCCUUUAUGAGGGGGAUAACCGAGGGAAACUUUGGCUAAUACCGCAUGAAGACUCUAAGGCAUCUUAGAGGGAUAAAAGUUGGGAAACAACGCAUGAAGAUGGGCUUAUGGCGCAUUAGCUAGUUGGUGAGAUAGAAGCCCGCCAAGGUAAUGAUGCGUAGCCGACCUGAGAGGGUGAACGGCCACAUUGGGACUGAGACACGGCCCAAACUCCUACGGGAGGCAGCAGUAGGGAAUUUUCGGCAAUGGGGGGAACCCUGACCGAGCAACGCCGCGUGAAGGAAGAAGGUUUUCGGAUUGUAAACUUCUGUUAUAAGGGAAGAACGGAUUGGAUAGGGAAUGAUCUGAUAGUGACGGUACCUUAUUAGAAAGCCACGGCUAACUACGUGCCAGCAGCCGC